rnacentral:misc_RNA from 1 species
GAUGAAGAACGUAGCGAAAUGCGAUACGUAAUGUGAAUUGCAGAAUUCAGUGAAUCAUCGAGUCUUUGAACGCACAUUGCGCCCCCUGGUAUUCCGGGGGGCAUGCCUGUCCGAGCGUCAUUGCUGCCCUCAAGCACGGCUUGUGUGUUGGGCCCCCGCCCCCCGGUUCCCGGGGGGCGGGCCCGAAAGGCAGCGGCGGCACCGCGUCCGGUCCUCGAGCGUAUGGGGCUUUGUCACCCGCUCUGUAGGCCCGGCCGGCGCUUGCCGAUCAACCCAAAUUUUUAUCCAGGUUGACCUCGGAUCAGGUAGGGAUACCCGCUGAACUUAAGCAUAUCAAUAAGCGGAGGA